rnacentral:rRNA from 1 species
AACGCGAAGAACCUUACCAGGCCUUGACAUCCCGGUCGCGGCCCCUUGAAAGAGGGGCCUUCAGUUCGGCUGGACCGGUGACAGGUGCUGCAUGGCUGUCGUCAGCUCGUGUCGUGAGAUGUUGGGUUAAGUCCCGCAACGAGCGCAACCCUCGCCCUUAGUUGCCAUCAUUUAGUUGGGCACUCUAAGGGGACUGCCGGUGAUAAGCCGCGAGGAAGGUGGGGAUGACGUCAAGUCCUCAUGGCCCUUACGGCCUGGGCCACACACGUGCUACAAUGGCGGUGACAAUGGGCAGCAAAGGGGCGACCCGGAGCUAAUCUCAAAAAGCCGUCUCAGUUCGGAUUGCACUCUGCAACUCGGGUGCAUGAAGUCGGAAUCGCUAGUAAUCGCGGAUCAGCACGCCGCGGUGAAUACGUUCCCGGGCCUUGUACACACCGCUACAGU